CAACAAAACUUUCUGGGCACAGUCUGGAGCAAAUGGGUGCCAACGGCUGGGAAAACAUCCCAGCGGCCUUAACCGCAACCCGCGUUGAAGGCAUUCAAGGGUCUGUUUGUUUGGUGGCCUGAGAAGUAAGAAGUGCUGUGUCUAAGUGUAGCCGGGAGAAGGUCUGUGACAUGAACUAGGCUGGGAGCCAAGGCUGGCAAAAGUUCAGAGAUUGUCUUUCUCCUCACUGAAGUGUCAGGACCUAAUUCAUGGAAAAUUGGGCGAGCUGGCAGCCCUCUCGGAGUUUCAUUGAGACGCGCUGUUCAGGACUCGCAUGAAUGGAGCUCCUUAGCCAAAAAAGGAGGGGGCUGACGAGCGGUCGGAGCCAGACAGCCUUCGAGAAUGUGUGUGCAUUCGAAACGGUCUGGGAGGAGAAGUACAGGUGUAAGUGGCAGGGGAAAAGAGGAAGAAAGGCCGUCUCGACUUAAAAGCGACCCUUUGAAAAUGAGCACUCUCUCGGCACACACUUCUGACUCCUAAGAGGCGUGAAGCGCACUGUGCUUCCUGGGUUCAAGUCAGCCUAGGGAAAAAAGGAAACAUCUCAAAACCUGGGCUUUGAUGCUGUUAUCUCUGCUGUGAAUUAAAGUCAUGAGGCAGACUUUUUUUUUUUUAACAGUGAAAAUAUCUCUUUUUAAAAUCUCAUCCAUCUUUUAAAAAAAAUACUCUGCUAAUUUUAUAUAAUGAUUUCAAGAUCCAAGAAAAACAUCACUCCCUUACAGACAUUCUGUAUUCCGAACACAGUGAGUUUAACCCACCUCCCGUGUCUCUGAAGGACUGGAGCAAUUUCAUCUCUUUGGCUUGAAUCUCUAAGUCAAAGGUGGCUCGGUUAUACUUGCAAACUUCAGGAAUGUGUAAAUGGAAUUAACAGGGCUUAUAAUCAGACACAACCCUGCUGUCAGGAAGUGAGUUAGCAAAGGUCUGGGACUUCAGAUCUGUCUUUUGUCUCACUGAAGAAUAACAGUAAUUUCUGGAGCUUGAUUGGAAAAUUAAUUCAGGCUGCAGAGAGAUCUCAGAAGUUUCACUCAAAAGGGGAAAUAGAUAUUAUGGAUAUAGAUAUGAAAAUAAACUAUAGAUCUGAGAAAGGACUAUAUCCAAAGCAGCAGAAGGACCCCUAGGUCUUUUAGUCAGGGUUUCUAUUGCUGUGAUGAAACACCAUGAUCAAAAACAAGCUUGGUGGGGGGGCGGGGGCGGGGAGGGAUUUUUAUUCAGCUUACACUUCCACAGCACUGUUCAUCCCUGAAAGAAAUCAGGACAGGAACUCAUACAAGGCAGGAACCUGGAGGCAGGAGCUGACGCAGAGGGCAUAGAGGGCUCUGCUUACUGGCUUGCUCCCCAUGGUUUGCUCAGCCUGCUUUCUUAUAGACCCCAGGUCCACCAGCCCAGGAUGGCACCACCCACAAUGGUCUAGGCUCUCCCCCAACAAUCACUAAUUAAGAAAAAGCUUAACAGACUUGCAUACAGCCUGAUCUUACGGAGGCAUUUUUUUCAGAUGAGGUUUCUGCCUCUCAAAUGACCCUAACCUGCGUCAAAUUGACAAAAAUGUAGCCAGCAGAGGCCUCAAUGUUGGAAAAAAAAAUUUUUUUUUUGUUUCAUCUUGUUUUUUAAUGAGCAAAUCAUUUGAAUGGAUGACUACUUAGUAAGCACUUGAAAGAUGUUUCGUGUAAUUAGUGAGGAGGGGAAUUCAAAUUGGCAUUUAACUUUCCACCCGGUUGGAAGUCAAGACUUAAAAAACGACAGACGAUUAACAAGCGCUGGCACAUCCGUGGGGAAAAGAUUAGAACACUCUCUCCCGCACCAGUGGUGGGUCUAUAAAAUAGUGUGCCUGCUUUGGAAAGCCAUCCGGCCACUGCUCAAGUCGGGUGGGGGUGGAGCAUUGCCAUUACCACUCAGCAACACCGCUCCUAGGUGACCCACAAUGAAUGAAAGCCUACCGUGGUGGAAUAUGUCCAUGAAAGCUCACAGGAGAUGCUCUCAGUAGCCAAGAGGUGGAAACAGCCCAAGUAGACACCAACCAAUGAGCAUCCAGAUAAGUAACAUGGGGGAGUACUGCUUGCCAUACAAACCAGUUAACUGUUGACGUCAUAGGAGUUGUUACAAAAGGGUUGACAGAUUAAGGCAGAAAGGAUGUAGGUGGGCGUACGGUUCAAGGACACACAGUUCCGUAGUGGCUGGGGAAACGAGGGCGGCAGGAGCCCGAGGCAGCUGGCCGCUUUACUCUCUCUGUUUGGAGGCGCAGAGAGGUGAGCGUGGUUGCUCAGCUUCCGUACUUCAGUCUGGAACACAGACAGUGGGAUGCUGCUGUGACAACUUCGAGGGCGGGUCUUCUCUCUGGCUAAAACUUUUCCGGAAACAUUUUCACAGACACACACACACACCCAGGGGUGUGUUUCCAUGGUGAUUGUAAAUCCAAAUAUCUCAAAUAUUACCAUAUGACUUUCCCUCCUCACCUGGAAACAGAGAGAGAGAGAGAGAGAGAGAGAGAGAGAGACAGACAGACAGACAGACACAAAAGCACCUGUUGCAUGAUUCUUCCACUAUGAAAUGUCUGAAACAAGGCAAUUUAGGUAACAGAAGGCAGACUGAUGCUAAAUUAAGCUCAGGAGGUUGACUAGGAAAGUGGAGAGCCAUGGGGAGUGGCUACAAAUAGAUACAAAGUUUCUUUUAUGGAAAUUUAAAAAUGUUCUCAAAUUAGGUUGCGGCGCUAAUUAUGCACCAGUUGCGUAAUAAAGAUUCCUCUCAAUUCACUGACUUCAAAUGAGUGAAUUUCGUGGUUUGUAAGCUUUAUCUUGGUAAAGAGUCUUCCAACUCUUCCAGUUCUAUGAUAGCAGACUUAAAACCAAGUUAUUCCUAUAGCAAGCCUAUUCCGAUAUGAGUACUAACCCUAUUCUGUCAUUCCUCCACAUGUGGAGGCUCUCUAACUUAGAUGAACUUCCGGGGUGUUCAGUUUUCUCCUUGCUUUGCAGGUCCCCAGCCACACUGAAUGAACUCACUGAACACUCAGGUUCUUCCCUCCCUGGGUCUCCCUGCAAACUAACACCACUUCUUUUGUUUGUUUCUCCCUCAGCCACAACAAGUCGUUCAGAAGAAGCCUGCUCAGGUAAGACACGCCCCCUUGUGAUUAUUCUC
rnacentral:lncRNA from 1 species